AUUGAACGCUGGCGGCAUGCCUUACACAUGCAAGUCGAACGGUAACGCGGGGCAACCUGGCGACGAGUGGCGAACGGGUGAGUAAUGCAUCGGAACGUGCCCGGUAGUGGGGGAUAACUGCUCGAAAGAGCAGCUAAUACCGCAUACGACCUGAGGGUGAAAGGGGGGGAUCGCAAGACCUCUCGCUAUCGGAGCGGCCGAUGUCGGAUUAGCUAGUUGGUGGGGUAAAGGCCUACCAAGGCGACGAUCCGUAGCUGGUCUGAGAGGACGACCAGCCCCACUGGGACUGAGACACGGCCCAGACUCCUACGGGAGGCAGCAGUGGGGAAUUUUGGACAAUGGACGCAAGUCUGAUCCAGCCAUGCCGCGUGCGGGAAGAAGGCCUUCGGGUUGUAAACCGCUUUUGUCAGGGAAGAAAUCUUCUGAGUUAAUACCUCGGGAGGAUGACGGUACCUGAAGAAUAAGCACCGGCUAACUACGUGCCAGCCGCCGCCGUAAAAC
rnacentral:rRNA from 1 species